GUCAGUAACCCAGCCCUAAAGGGACUGGGCUUGUAAGAGAAAUCAAGCAAGCCGUACUGACCAGACCACCCUGAGUUUACUCUCAUGGUAGCGGUUAAAACCG
rnacentral:ncRNA from 1 species